rnacentral:lncRNA from 1 species
UGCUAAUCUGUAUCUAAACAAAAACUUAAGCAUGGAUAUGAUGAAUAGUUGCUCUGCCUAAUUUGCACAUUCUAAGUUCUCUCUCAAGUUUAGAUAUAACUGUUAUAAUUUAAAGCUUGCCCUAGACCUGAACUUGUGGGAUGAAAACUUGAUCUGAAGUCUAUGUUGUUAACGGAUACGAUAUGGGAAGGUUGAGCUGCUGUUUAUCUGUUCCUAGAGAUGCUAGAAUUCUGGAGAAUUUUAUCUUUGAAAAUCUUUAAAAUAUUGCAUGAUGAGUUUCUAUAUGAUGAGAGCUUAAAUUCCUACCACAGCCAUAUAUACAUGCUUGCUAGACUUUGAGCCACACAUUUACUAUUUACUGCUUAUGAACAUUGAGUGUGAUCAAGCUGUGUAGACCCUUAGGAGCUUGUCAUGUGGUUAAAUCAAGAUUUCACUUGCACGUUCACUCAUAUAUGCUACUUCUACUUCCGAAGUACCAUCCACAUAUAUCCAUCCAUUUCCAUCUCCAGAACCACCUAAAAAUAUUCUACUCCUAAUCCGGGAGAGAAUAACCAAAAAUAUUUCUGUUUCCCCUUGUGAAAUAAAUGCUCAAGUUAUCUUGUUACUACCACUUGCUAUAUUAUCUCAAGAGAUGAGUGCUCUAAAAAAAGAAGAAAAUAAAAAAAUAUACGAGGAAAUAAAAAGGAGCAAGUGCUCGGAACCUCGAAAGAAAAGAAAGAGUGAGACGAGAGGUAAAAAUGGACAAGUGUCCGACAGUAGAAUUAGGGGUGCAAGAUACCCACAUGAGAGACAAGAAAAAGAAGAGCAUCUCAUUCUCCUCAUAAAGUUUCAAAAGCAAGGAAGGUAUGUAUUCCCUCAAAAGAGCAAAGUAGAAUUAGACUUCCACCACCAUUGUUUUCACCAUUGUUAUCACCAUCAUCACCAUACACCAUUCAUUCGCCACACAUGCACAUCUUGAUUUGGCUUAUUGAUUUGUUUCUUUGGAUCCAUGGUUUGACUAUGCAAUAAAUGUCUUGUGAGUAUGUAUACUUUAUCUCCCACCUAUGAGCUCCAAAUAUUAAAGCCUUAUUAGAGUAGGGUGAGAGAGAAGGCAAUGUCACUAUGCCUUAUACCACAAAUACUACAUAUCUUGAGAGAAGGCAUAUACCAUCAAUGCCUUGGUAAGGAUCCAAAAAUACCACAAAAGAGAGAUAUGAGAGAAUCAUACAAGGAAUCUCUGAGUUUUAUUUGAAAAUCUGCAAAAACCCCAGAGCUAUAGCUGAUCAAGAAUAAGAGACAUGGCACUUGGCUAGACUGUUCUAUCUUUUAACCACUCAAGACGGAAGUGACAGUUACAAGUCCCAUGGUGUAGGUAAAGUAAGUAAGUUUUAAGUCUUGACAGUUUACUCUAACUCAGAGAUGAGAUCUUAUUUAAAAAGCAUGUGUACCGUCAAUUUUUAAAGAUAUUGCAACUACUUAUGAUCCAUUGCUGAGUCUAUCCUUGCUCAGGGACGAGCAAGAGGUAAGCUUGGGGGAGUUUGUUGACGGUCCUUAAGUAUCAAAAUUUAAUUAUCAAAUAAAUAAAGAAAAGGAUCCAAAUGAAAUCAAGAUCCAGACUUAAGGUUUUAUCUGACAGAAUUCCAUGAGUUUUGGUGUUUGUCUAUUUCUGCAGGGGGUUAUCAGGAAAUAUGGAAGAAAGGCCCACAUGUCAGGAUUACGUAAAGGUAUUAACGUGCUGCGCAAUUAUCUUACAUCUAGAAGACUCCAGAAGCCACGAGACCGAAGCGGAGGCGAAUCGGGGCCAGAGACAGGGCGCCCGCCCUGUCCUACUGGGCGCCCGCCCUGCUCCCAAGUCCAAUCAGGACUCUGCUUUGCGGGAAGUCUCCACCGACCUAAAGGAUGAAUCUAAACCAUACAAUCUAUGUCGGUUUGAUCCAAGGGCCCAUAUUCACUUGAAGGGACUAUAAAACCAGACCCCCUGGCCCCUAGAGGAGAGAGCCUCUCAACCCUAAUUCAUUGUUCCAUCAAGGGAGAAGAAGCCUCUGAUCAAGAUUAGAGCCACCACAUCAAUUAGAUAUCUAGAUUAGCAUAGCUACAUAGGAUUAGAACUAGAAGGAGUCAAUCUUCGAUUGGUUUCCGGAUCUGUCAGGAGGAUUCUUUGUAAUUCUCUAAUUGUGCUUCUAAUUGCUUUCUAAUUAUCUUUGUUCUUCAAUAUUAUGAAUAUGACUUUGUUCUACUUCAAUAUAUUGCUUAUGACUUUGCUCUACUUGCUUAUAUUCAAGAUUAUAUUGUUCUUAGUUUAUCAUAGUUAUGUACUUGGCUUAGUUAGAUUCGAUCUAUAUACAUGCUUAGGAUCGUAUAGCGUUUGUCCAUCGGAUCCAAGGGUAAAUGAUAGAUAUUGUGUAGGCAUGGUGCUUAUACCGUAUUUAUCUGCGAUUGUACCCAAUAUGCCAGAUCGUGGGGUGGUUCGUGAUAGUGACAGCUUCAUUGAUUCUUAUAUAGUCCCCCUCUCAUGUAUUGGGCUGGCAGAGCAACAUUAUUACAGGGGAGUGAUUGCUAUGUUUCUCAUAUUCCUUGCUAAUAUCACUAUGCAUGGGCGUAGUCUUGUCUCGCAAUGAUUGCUAAGUAUGCUUGCACUAACUAUGAUAUGCUAGACUAUAUAGUUGAGAAUAACUUAGGGAAUAUUCUUGUAGUUCGUUCUAAUACCAUGCUAAUGACUUUCUAGAGUAUCUAAUUGAGGUGCUUAUCAUAUUUAUGAUGUGGCUAGAUCAGAUUAGUUAUCCUUGUCACUAUUAUUAUUUCAUAUAUCUUUUAUGUGACACUUAUCCCUGUAUGAAGAGUUAGAUAUAAUGUUCUCAAUUAUACGAGUGGCAUAAAACCCAUAAGUACAUUCACUGUGGUGGCAUAAAAAUAAAAUAAAUAUUUUUUUUGCUUUAUAAAAUAAAAAUAUAAAAACAGGGAGUAAUAUUUAAGGAGUCUCAAGAUAAUAAAGGCUAGAUAUUUAUGCUAACACUUAAUCAGUUCCACAAGCUUUGUUGCCUAUUUGAGCUCCACAGAAUUAAGAAUCAAGAAGACUGGCAGACGGAGGACAUUCUAAUCGCUGUCAGAAUACUGCUGACUUUCAAAUACACCUCUGCCACCUGCUAGCUACAUUAAGAGAAAUUAUGUCAAAAUUCAGCUUGGGGGAGAGCACCCCCAUUUACCUCGAUAAGUAUUUCUAUCUAUUUUUAUACUUAUAUUAUUUUAGAAUAUUAAAAUACACAUAAACUAUGGGAAAACUAAAUAAAGAUUUUAUGCUUAUAUAUGUCUUUUGCUUAGUGUGUUUAACAAAUAAAUAAACUAGCUAUGCUAAUCUGUAUCUAAACAAAAACUUAAGCAUGGAUAUGAUGAAUAGUUGCUCUGCCUAAUUUGCACAUUCUAAGUUCUCUCUCAAGUUUAGAUAUAACUGUUAUAAUUUAAAGCUUGCCCUAGACCUGAACUUGUGGGAUGAAAACUUGAUCUGAAGUCUAUGUUGUUAACGGAUACGAUAUGGGAAGGUUGAGCUGCUGUUUAUCUGUUCCUAGAGAUGCUAGAAUUCUGGAGAAUUUUAUCUUUGAAAAUCUUUAAAAUAUUGCAUGAUGAGUUUCUAUAUGAUGAGAGCUUAAAUUCCUACCACAGCCAUAUAUACAUGCUUGCUAGACUUUGAGCCACACAUUUACUAUUUACUGCUUAUGAACAUUGAGUGUGAUCAAGCUGUGUAGACCCUUAGGAGCUUGUCAUGUGGUUAAAUCAAGAUUUCACUUGCACGUUCACUCAUAUAUGCUACUUCUACUCCCGAAGUACCAUCCACAUAUAUCCAUCCAUUUCCAUCUCCAAAACCACCUAAAAAUAUUCUACUCCUAAUCCGGGAGAGAAUAACCAAAAAUAUUUCUGUUUCCCCUUGUGAAAUAAAUGCUCAAGUUAUCUUGUUACUACCACUUGCUAUAUUAUCUCAAGAGAUGAGUGCUCUAAAAAAAGAAGAAAAUAAAAAAAUAUACGAGGAAAUAAAAAGGAGCAAGUGCUCGGAACCUCGAAAGAAAAGAAAGAGUGAGACGAGAGGUAAAAAUGGACAAGUGUCCGACAGUAGAAUUAGGGGUGCAAGAUACCCACCUGAGAGACAAGAAAAAGAAGAGCAUCUCAUUCUCCUCAUAAAGUUUCAAAAGCAAGGAAGGUAUGUAUCCCCUCAAAAGAGCAAAGUAGAAUUAGACUUCCACCACCAUUGUUUUCACCAUUGUUAUCACCAUCAUCACCAUACACCAUUCAUUCGCCACACAUGCACAUCUUGAUUUGGCUUAUUGAUUUGUUUCUUUGGAUCCAUGGUUUGACUAUGCAAUAAAUGUCUUGUGAGUAUGUAUACUUUAUCUCCCAC